GGCUCCCCCGGACGCCCCACGGCUGUGAGCCCCCGCCCCCGGCGCUGAGGGGCCCCCUGGAUGCCCGCAGUGCCCCGCAGCUCCAGGGCCCUGCCCGCGCUCCAUUGCCCCGCGGGCCCCUGCGCGCCCCCAGCCCCGCAAGGGCCCAGUCGGUGCCUCACGGGCCUGGCCACCUCUCUGGGCCCUGGCAGCACCUGCUGCCCGAUAGCCACCGUGCGCCUGGCCUCGGGGGUGACCCUGCCAGGCGGGGCAGGCCCAGCCCGGUGCAGCCGCCCGCCCGCAGCCGCUGCCCACGUUAGCGGGGCACGUUGGGGUUGCAGCCCCCCCCACCGGCUGUGCCAGCCUGCCCAGCGGGACUGCCCGGGCCUGCAGGCCGCAGCAUGGCAGCUGUGCAGGGCGUGCUCAGCAUCGCAGGCGUAAGGGCCGGUGUUUGUGACGGCGGUAUCUUUUCUCUGGCUGGAGACAGAGUCAAGCCUCAGUGGCAGACUGGGGAAAGCCUCACGCUUCAAAGUGCCUGUAAAGGAAGGAGGAGCCCUCCUGCACCGCUGCGACACGCACCCUCACGCGCUGAAACAGCCAGAGCGACGUUUGUGAGCAUAUGACUGACGAACGGUACAGUACGUUCACUUGCUGCCCGGAGACUCGUCAGAGUGGCAAGUUGGAGCUGUAGAAGAUAGAGAUGACUCACGACUGGAGCUUUAUGUAAAUGAGGAACCUCUUCUGUUGCGUCCUGUUGUACCAAUGAGGCCACGUAAAGUUCACACAUCAGCUGUGGCAACCAGUCCUACCUAUUUUAACCCUACUCUUGUUAGUAUUGUGGCUACGGAAUUGAUGGGUGUUUUGGCUUCCAGAGAAGUCUGCAGGAAACUUCCCAGACAGAUGAAUUGAUUCAACUCUUGCUUCUCACUGAGCUUAAAGAAAAAAGAAAGAAGAGCACUGAGGAAAACGAAGUGGCUGCUGGUUGAUGUGACAUAUCCCACCGGUGGACCUGGCUGGCAUGUGAACUGCACUUGCACCAGACAGAGAAGAAAAAAAGGAGAAAAAAAUACCUUGAAUUAUUAAACUGAUCAGAGCCCAAACUGCAAAAUUCAGCCCCUGGCUCAUAUCUCACGUGUUUUUGAAAUUCUGGGUGUUCAAGUGAGGAGUUGUGUUCAAAUAUAACUCCAGUAUAGUGAUCUUAUUUUUGCUUGUUUAAAAGAAGUUCCUUAUGUUAGUUAGCUAUUCAAUUCUAAUCUGUUUUCUCUGAAGUGUGAUUAUGGUUGUGAGUGGCUCAACCAAUUAACUGGGAGGGUGGAGUUAAUUAUUGAUUUACCUGAUUACACAUGACGGCUUUCUGCUCUCAGAGGUGGCCAUGAGAUAUAUAAGAACAUAAAGAAAGCUUUGUGGCAGGUCUUGAGAUGACAUUUGGAUGCUUCUCCCUGCUGUCUGUGGUGCUGUGCUUCUCAGCAUAACUUUGUGGUAAUCAGAUCAGUUUUAAAAUCGGAGAGUGUCUGUGCAUUCCCUUUCUCGCUGCCAGUGCAGCCUCUUACCAGACCCAGGGCUCCCUGGCUGCUGCCCCCACUUGGGGCUCGGCAGGGUCCCGGUCCACAUGAAGCUGUGACCAUCCCACGAUGGGACUGUCCGGCUGCUUGAGCCAUCCAGGGGCUGCCACGCUUGAAGGAAAGUCUCCCCCAGCUUUUACCCACUUCCAUUUUAGUGCUUCCCUCAGCCUGCUGCUUUUAUGGGAUGCCUUCUCCCUUUAUUGCAAGGUUUGUUUUUUUUUAUACCACAGCA